GUGAGUCAUCGAAUCUUUGAACGCACAUUGCGCCCGCCAGUAUUCUGGCGGGCAUGCCUGUUCGAGCGUCAUUUCAACCCUCAAGCCCCAGCGGCUUGGUGUUGGGGACCGGCCCCGCGCCGCCCCCGAAAUGCAGUGGCGACCUCGCCGCAGCCUCCCCUGCGUAGUAGCACAAACCUCGCACCGGAGCGCGGAGACGGUCACGCCGUUAAACGCCCAACUUUCUUAGAGUUGACCUCGGAUCAGGUAGGAAUACCCGCUGAACUUAAGCAUAUCAAUAAGCGGAGGA
rnacentral:misc_RNA from 1 species